ensembl:lncRNA
UGAGGGCAAACUAACCAUGGGUCCGAAAAAGGUUUUGACUGAUGAAUAUGAUCAUAUUUAGCCAAUGUGUCAUUGUUAAAUAAUGUCAGUUUUAACUUGAAUUUGUCUGCAUUAUUCGAUUAAACCUAUCCAUGCUUCCCAUUUUCUUCCUUAUUUGAAAUAUCUUCUGAUCAUUAUUCAGGCCAGAAACACCAGAGCAGAAGAAAGAUCAAGAAAGAGUUCAAAGUCAUCCUCUUUACCCAAGCCAGCUGCUACAGACCAGAAGAAUACAUGAAGUAAAUUUCUGGUUUUCGGAGGGUGCUGGUAUUUGCAUUCAGUUUGCCGCGGUUUGCCAGUGUUUUUAAUGAAUCAUUAAAUAAAUAUGUAAACGUAGAAGGCCUGAAUGUUAAUGUUUAUACAUUAAAUCAAGAACCAGUAGGCCUGACGCCAUAAGAUUUGCAUGCAAAUAGGAGACGAAAAAUAACGAAGACAGACAUGCCUUGUGAGAUGCGUGUGAGCAAUGUUAACUCGGCUGAGGAACACGACCGUACAAGCCGAUUGUGCAACAGGGUCAUAGCUUAUCAAUUCUAUGAAUACCGGAAAUUCCACUUCUUUCUUCAAAGUGCUGGGUUUCUAAUCUGCAAAAUAAAUCAUGCUUCUUUGACACCUCAGAUGAUGUUCAAGUGAACCCCAAUGGGAGGUUGGUGUGACUCAAAAGGACUAGACCAGAUUUUACACUAGGCCAUCUGGCCGUGGCCAUUUUCACACCUAACCGUGCUCAAAUCUGCCAGUGUGAGUGUGGUACAGAUGCUAAUGAGCCGACACGCGCACACGCACGGCUACGCAACCUGAGCUGGAUGACGUAUAGUCCAUGAUGCGACGACCAUGGACAUAAUAAAGGCGACGAGCCUUCUUUCCCAUUAAACGGUAAACAUAUAUCCAAAUAAGCAACAGACUCAGCAAAAUGCGAACUGUAUUCUCUGUGUUGUUGCCCAUUGUUGUUAAAACUCUGACCGGCGGAAGACUUUAUUAUGGUCGAUGCAGCGGACGCUUGGUGAUGACGUGUUACUUACGACGUGAUGACGUAUGUACAAGAGCCUACCGUGGCCAGGCCACAGUUGCGACGGCCAACGGCCAUGGCCAGAUGGCCUAGUGUGAGUGCAGGCCAGAGAACAAUGGGGCCAGUUUAGCACGGUUAGGUGUGAAAACGGCCAACGGCCACGGCCAGAUGGCCUAGUGUGAGUGCACCCUAGAGAUGAAUCUGCAGCAUGAAGCAUUUAGAUCUCUGGCACUGCGGCUUUCGACAGGAAAUAAGAAGAUAAAGUAAUGCAAAAAAAAAUGUGGCACAUUCGUCUCAAAAUAGAAACAAGUCUGUUCCAUGGUAGUAUCAAAACAAUAAUAAGAAAAUGUAACACACCUUCAAUAAGACAUAUUCAUUUGCAGAGCUGGAUAUUCUUUCUACCAGACAGAUUCCCGAAGGCAGAAGCAGCAUUAGGUCAUUUCAAGUCAUCGCAGAGUGUUUAACUACUACAGAUACGGCCCAUAACAGCCAAUAAGAGUCCUUUGUGAGCAUAACCAGGCCAAGAGGUUGAGACAGAUACAAAAGAACGAUACAAAAGAGGCAGCAACAAAAAAAAGACAACAUUCUCAUCAGAAAGAACACGGAAUAGGAAGUCAUUUUCGGCGCUAUCAUCCCGAUCAAAGAUAAAGUUACAGACAAGGAAAACAGUCUGGCGUACGGUACACAGAACAUUGCCGCCUCUCUUCUUACUUAAUGGACCCCCGGCUAGAGUUCCUCGUCGUUGCGGGUCUCAGGGGGCUAUGGGGUGCUUACCGCCACGGAUAUAUCAGACGUCGGUGUCUACGGUUACACCGAGCAUGUCUGACCUCACACAGCACGAGUCCCGGUGUUGUGAUCAAUGCUGCGAUGAGACGUGGACCAGCUAUGGAGAACAUGCAGAGCACGUCGAGCAUAGCAGAGGCCGUGCCUUUACACGUCACGGGGGCCUCGAAUAUAUACAUGUUCCCGGUGUGGAGUAGGACUGCUUCGUUCCCCGUGUUCGCAGUGUGUUAAAGGACCACACCGGUCUGGGUGAUUACCCCCGUCAAACCAUCAAUCACUGUCGUGCUGAUCUGUGGUAGAGCAUUUAGUGUGAGCGCACUGACACCUCCGACUUAAACAAGGGAAGUGUAGCACCUUUCAGGACAAAGAACUGGGAACCGCCAUGUAAGAAACUUUACCAACAUGCCGUGACAAAUCUCUUUAUGAAAAUACGGAAGGGCAA